CAGCACAUAUACUAAAAUACACAUACUAAAACAAUACGGAGAAGAUUAACAUGGCCCCUGCACAAGGAUGAUAUGCAAAUUCGUGAAGCGUUCCAUAUUUUA